rnacentral:rRNA from 1 species
AACGAACGCUGGCGGCAUGCCUAACACAUGCAAGUCGAACGAGACCUUCGGGUCUAGUGGCGCACGGGUGCGUAACGCGUGGGAACCUGCCCUUAGGUUCGGAAUAACUCCCCGAAAGGGGUGCUAAUACCGGAUAAUGUCUUCGGACCAAAGAUUUAUCGCCUUUGGAUGGGCCCGCGUUGGAUUAGCUAGUUGGUAGGGUAAAAGCCUACCAAGGCGACGAUCCAUAGCUGGUCUGAGAGGAUGAUCAGCCACACUGGGACUGAGACACGGCCCAGACUCCUACGGGAGGCGGCAGUGGGGAAUAUUGGACAAGGGGCGAAAGCCUGAUCCAGCAAUGCCGCGUGAGUGAUGAAGGCCUUAGGGUUGUAAAGCUCUUUUACCCGGGAUGAUAAUGACAGUACCGGGAAAAUAAGCUCCGGCUAACUCCGUG